CAUGCAGCAGGCACACCAGCCCUCUGUUACCCUGGAUGAAGACACAGCUAUCUUGAGACUGCACUCCCGACAUAUGCUGAACAAGGCUGGCGAAGACAGAGGCUUCACGCCGUACUUCCUGAUCCUCAUCUUGUAGCAGUUCCUCAGAGGGCACUAUGGGCUGGGCACUGAGCAGAGCAAUGGCCUUGCUCCGAUGGAGGGUCACUGAUGGAAGGAAACCUGUGUGUGCACCCCAUGGCACUGCUAGGAAUAAGCAGCUAUUACUCACUGAAGAGCUGGAUGGCUGCGUUUCUCAUGGCCCAGCUAGACGAGCCUAGUGCCUUCAGAAGCAGAGCCAUCAUAGGCGGGACAUACUGGAGCAGCGCCGCUCCCAGACCGGAGCCACGCACCAGUGUCUGCAACACAUGCAAGGCAGAGACCUGCAGAGAAAAACGCAACAAAGAUCACUGGGGUGGCCCAGGGACUUCUUGGGGCCCACUGGCAGAAGGCAGUGCCCUGGGUCUGGUCUCUACAGAAUUGUUCAUCAAAGGGUGUCUUGUAAGGUCUCCAGUGAAAGCCUGGUCAUGCUGAUCGACAUAAUCCCUGUGAAGUGUUUGUACAGAUAAUUUGUGAAGGGGGGAGGGUGUUUCUUUCAGGUGGGAGCUGCUUAUCCACCUGUCCAGCUAUAUGUAAAUUGACUACUGUAUACUUCACAACAGCUGUCUGUUUACAGACUGACUGCAGUGCUAAUCAAGAGAUUGUGAAAUCUCCAUGGGAGAUUCUCUGCAGGAAAAAACAAGCAGCAGGAGGUAUCCUGUUUACAAGUGAUGACAGUGGAUGGCUGGAACUAUAUCUGGGGAUACAAUGGUAUGCCCAGGUAUCCUUCACUGAGGGGUCAAGCUGCCUGCUGGCUUGUCUUUUGAAUGGAGGAUCACAGCUGGUCUGACUGUCUGAGGAGGAGAGAGAGACUUUGGGUGAGUAACCUUUAUGAGACAGGGGAAUGUCUUGUUAAGUUUAGGCUCUAGAAAACAUGUUAUGAUUUUAUUUUAUAUGUAACCAUUUGUUCCCAUUAAUUCUAUCUGCUUCUUCUCAAAUCUCUGGUCUUUGUUAAAUAAACUUUUCCUUGGUUUCACUACAAGCUAAUCCAAGCACCGUCAACUGAGUGGAGUGGUGGUUCUAAGGUGCAGCUGGUGCAUACUGUGCCUUUGGGAGUAGUGGAUCUGUGAAUGCGGGAAGCAUGCAGUAGAAUACAGGCUGGACUCUUCCGGGGGAAGCCUGGAGGGCUCAGGGGCUGCAUGUGUCUAUUGCUUACCUGGAGAGGGACAGUGGAGCCUCUGUGGGCUGAGGGGGGGUAGUCAUUGUGUUGCUUAUGGCUGGUGGAAUUUAUGAUCUGACCCCUCACAGAUAUGGCUUCCUCACACUAGGGGCAGGUGGUAGCGAGGUGCCUUGCAGGCCUGGGUACACCCCCCACCCCCAAGAAAUGUCACAGUCAUUUCCCAUUCAUAGAGCAGCUUUCUUUGCCAAGGAGCUUGAUGUACUACACAGAAUGCACGAGUCACUUCUGGGGACACAGCAAACACUAGGCAGUAGUUCGGGAAAGCGAACGGAAAGCCGUCUGCCUCAGUUGGAUCGGCCAGGGAAGGAGGGCCUUGAAGGAUAAGAGCAAGGUGGCUAAGAAACAUGGCUCUAAUUAGUGCUCCCUCAAGCUGUUUACAACGGUCCAGGGACAACUACCGGCCACCGACAGUACCAGGAGAUGUGAGCUGGAACGACAUCAUCCAUCAACUACGAGAAAGGGACUGAGAGACUUUUUCCAUUGGACCAUAUGAACUGGAACCAUAAACUCACUGAACAUUAAAUCUCACCAAAUGAGGGUAAAUCCAUCCUCAUCAUCGUAUCCACUCAUUAUACUCCUUACCUGAACAAAGCCAUUAUAUGAAAAACAUACCCCCAUAUCUCAAUGUCUGUACUUUGACCCGUUAACCUUUUACCGCAAAUCGGGGAGAUUGCAGAUUAUGUAUUCCUUACGCCAUCCGAUCCUAAACCAAACUUCGCACCCCUU